UGGAAUAUUCACUGCUGGUUGGUCUUGGCCUGAUAGUUCAUGCACCCUAAGAUUAGCAGAUAGAACAGGUCUAGAGCUGGAUGCUGGAGGAUCCAGGAACUCAGAGGAAAUGGCUCAGACAGCAGUGAAUGUCAUACCUAGCAGGCUCUGGGGCAAAUGGCUUCUCCAGGCAAGAAACUCCCACCACUGGCUUGCUAAUAUUUGACAGAAAGUGACUGAAGGUCCCGCCUGCUGGUGACAUCUAACAAGGAUGGCCCACCUGCUGGUGACAGCAUGGGAAAGUGUCACUUUCACGAGUGAGGCAUCUGGAGGUCAGCCUCGAGAUCAC
rnacentral:lncRNA from 1 species